AGCUGUGUGAGACACAGAUACUGCAUUUCUCCACUAUUUUACCUUUCAAAUUAAACUUUACAUUCUUAUUUUAACACAGUUGCAUAUAUUAGCUGCAAACUGAAAAAAUGUGAGUGGGUUGACAAAUGUAUUUGGAUGACUGAAUAAACCUGUAUUUCAAUAACUUUGGAUGUUUCACACUUUUAAGCUUGUCAAAACACUCCUGGAUGCUAAGCCAGGAGGAGAGAAGAUACUCAAAGAAUACACACAAACAGGGGAGGUUAAAGACCCAUUACGACGAAAACUGGUCAACAUGGUUGUAGCAGCAAUGAUUGAGCAGUAUGGGACUGCUCCACCGAUGGAUGUCAGGACACGUUAUGCAUUGGGAAUUGUCACCCUGUUCCCUUGUCUGAAAGAUCCGUACUCUGAAAAAGGAUAUGAGCACUUUUUUGAUUCCAAAAGUAAUGAAGGCUACAUCGCUUGGAAACUGAAAAACAUGCAGCGCGAACUCAGCAGUGGCAGCAGGAGGG